rnacentral:rRNA from 2 species
GAUGAACGCUGGCGGUGUGCCUAAUACAUGCAAGUCGAACGCGUUGGCCCAAUUGAUUGAUGGUGCUUGCACCUGAUUGAUUUUGGUCGCCAACGAGUGGCGGACGGGUGAGUAACACGUAGGUAACCUGCCCAGAAGCGGGGGACAACAUUUGGAAACAGAUGCUAAUACCGCAUAACAACGUUGUUCGCAUGAACAACGCUUAAAAGAUGGCUUCUCGCUAUCACUUCUGGAUGGACCUGCGGUGCAUUAGCUUGUUGGUGGGGUAAUGGCCUACCAAGGCGAUGAUGCAUAGCCGAGUUGAGAGACUGAUCGGCCACAAUGGGACUUAGACACGGCCCAUACUCCUACGGGAGGCAGCAGUAGGGAAUCUUCCACAAUGGGCGCAAGCCUGAUGGAGCAACACCGCGUGAGUGAAGAAGGGUUUCGGCUCGUAAAGCUCUGUUGUUAAAGAAGAACACGUAUGAGAGUAACUGUUCAUACGUUGACGGUAUUUAACCAGAAAGUCACGGCUAA